rnacentral:lncRNA from 1 species
CAACAGAGGCUCUUUGAGAAAGACGAUGCAAACACCAAAGAGUGUAAGAAAAAGCAUGAAAGAAGCAGCAUCACUUGUAAUCAGUAGCAAGCUCUGAAGCCUGUCUGUCCCUUUUAGAUGCUUCACACUUUAUUAUUAAUCCACCAGUGACAGCAGAGCUUGGUUAGGAGGGACAUCUUUCAUCUCUGAUCCUCUCCCUGACAACUAAAAUAGGGUGAGCACAUUUGCAUAACAGAAGAAAGGGACAGAUUGCCACUCCAGAAGGACCCGCAGGACACCUGUCAGAAAUAUUAAAAAGCAGGAUAAUCUCACAAAAUAUGAAAUGCUUCAUGUAUCGGUCUGGAGAGAGUUGAUGGAAAGGCUACCAUGGAAAGAAAUAAAAUGUGGGCUCUGUCCCAUCUCCAAACCCUCAUCUUGUGAAUGACUUGGAGUCUAUUCAGCAUCCUGAAGUCCUCUCUCUCUGUCCUUUGUCCCACCCAUUGAAAAUACUUCCAGGCUGCUAUCUUUUGUUACAUAACACAAGAACAGUUGAGUUAGGGGAGCUCAGGAACAAUUUUCUUGGCUCUCUUCCCCACCUGAGCCAGAACAUCAUACCCUCCACUCCCAACACACUCCUGACCUUCACCCACCCCAUCCAUCUCACCUCCAGUAGGAGAACCUUGCCUGCUUAUAGGGCUCUGGGAGAUGUGCUCCUGUUCUCGGGUCACAUUCAGACCACAUAAAGACAUUAUUUUCAGUAGACAGAACUAAAACUGCAAUUAGAACAGUAUUCCAAUUCAGGCCCACUGUGAGCUAAACAGGCAUUCAUGGCAGCCUGUGUAUUACAUUGUUUCUUAAAAAAUGCAAUCCAGGUAAACAAACCAAUUUUGGGAAUGUGGCUCCUUUGGUCAACUGCAUCCAAGAAAGGUAAAGUUACGUCUCCCCAAAAGACUCUGCAAUCUAAAGGAAACAGAGCAGGAGAAUGGUGGAGCGAUGGGGAAUUGUUUGGGCAUGGCCAAGGGAAACACAAGCCUUAACAUUUUGUUGUGUUGAACUGGCUGUGGUCCACGGCCCUCGCUGCUAAACAGGACAAUGGAUCAGGGAUUAAAUUUCCUGUGCCCACUCUCAGAGAGGGGACAUUUUUGCAAUCCCCCAAAGAUGUUUUGGCCUACAGAGACAAACAACUGGAAAGAAUUGCAGCACUUGUGGGGAGGGGAAGGAGUGCAGAAGAUGACAAGAGCUUUAAAAGGGAUGCCCUAAAAGAACAGCAAAACAGAUCACCCUGCACCCUCAGCAGCUCCAGGCAGCCAAUCAAGGAGGAGAAGCCGGAAGAGUCUGAGCUUGCGAGGUGGGAGCUGCCCAGAGCUGCCUGCCUGUGACUCAGGAUGGAAUUUUCCUUCCAGGCUCCUUGUGAGGUUGGUGGCAGCUGUGAAUGUUCUUCCCCAACAAUUUCACAUACAAUUUCUGGAGGUUCAUAGACCUCUGAUGCACACCAGAAGAGUCCAGGGACCUCAAAUUAAUAAUGUGUGCCCCAGAGGUUCACCCAAGUGUAGUUUUCCUAUCCGUCUUUGAAAUCAAAUCUUUCUGCUGCUGCAAAAAUAGAAACCAUAUCCAGAAAGAAAUUACAGAGCC